rnacentral:pre_miRNA from 1 species
CAGGGCCCGGGUGUCCCGAGAGAGCAGUCUUGGAGCGUCUCCACCAUGGCCUGGGCUCUGCUUCUGCUCACGAUUCUCACUCAGGACACAGGUGA